GAAUUAUAAGAGUUAUAUACUGUGUGCAAGGGGAACACAAAUCAAUCUCCAUAUAUGUGUAAGACUAUCUUUGUAUUAAUUUGAAAUGAUUGACGUAGGGGUACCUUAUGGGAGAGCCAGGCUUCAUGUGAGUUUUCCAGUCUUUGAAGCCAUGGAGGAUUAAUCCAAAUCCAGUGGGAAAUCAUUUGUGCUGUUGUCAAAAAAGACCCAUGCCACAUACCUGCAAACGAAACUAUAUCAAUCCCACAUUGACUUUUGGACUUUUGUUAUUAAAAGCCAAAUUAUCAUUGGGUAAUUUAUUACUUUUUUAAGGAACUUGUAGUCAGUCUUGAUGCCAGAGCAAUAGAACAGAAUAGCAGGGAGAGAUCCAAAAAUUGUUACAUGAGGUUUUGUUUUUCCUAAAAGCUCCUGAUGAAAGCUGUUUAAAAGAUACAUAAGAACAUGGAAGAAGCAGACUAACUGGGGCUAAAACAGCAGUUAGGAGCCAUGUGAUACUGUGUUCAGUGAAGACUUGACCUCGCAGUAUCAAGAAUGAUUCCCGGGCCUUGGGAUGUAGCUCAAUGGUAAAGUGCUUACCUAGUACGUGUAAGGUUCUGAAUUCAAUCCCUAGUACUGCCAAAAAAUAAAAAAGAUUUCUCUCUCCCCUUCAUGUUGUUUUUAAGCAUCAGUUUUAUACAUUUCCUCUAGGUAUUGAAAUGGCUUUCCACUUUUGUCAUUUCAGACUAU
rnacentral:lncRNA from 1 species